rnacentral:rRNA from 1 species
CUUGCUCUGGUUGAUCAGUGGCGAACGGGUGAGUAACACGUGAGUAACCUGCCCCUGACUCUGGGAUAACUUCGGGAAAUCGGAGCUAAUACCGGAUAUGAGACGUCCUCGCAUGGGGAGCGUCUGGAAAGAUUUAUCGGUCUGGGAUGGACUCGCGGCCUAUCAGCUUGUUGGUGAGGUAAUGGCUCACCAAGGCGACGACGGGUAGCCGGCCUGAGAGGGCGACCGGCCACACUGGGACUGAGAUACGGCCCAGACUCCUACGGGAGGCAGCAGUGGGGAAUAUUGCACAAUGGGCGAAAGCCUGAUGCAGCGACGCCGCGUGAGGGAUGAAGGCCUUCGGGUUGUAAACCUCUUUCAGCAGGGAAGAAGCGAAAGUGACGGUACCUGCAGAAGAAGCGCCGGCUAACUACGUGCCAGCAGCCGCGGUAAUACGUAGGGCGCAAGCGUUGUCCGGAAUUAUUGGGCGUAAAGAGCUCGUAGGCGGUUUGUCGCGUCUGCUGUGAAAACUCGAGGCUCAACCUCGGGCUUGCAGUGGGUACGGGCAGACUAGAGUGCGGUAGGGGAGACUGGAAUUCCUGGUGUAGCGGUGGAAUGCGCAGAUAUCAGGAGGAACACCGAUGGCGAAGGCAGGUCUCUGGGCCGCAACUGACGCUGAGGAGCGAAAGCAUGGGGAGCGAACAGGAUUAGAUACCCUGGUAGUCCAUGCCGUAAACGUUGGGCACUAGGUGUGGGGCUCAUUCCACGAGUUC